CGCAAUGUUCAUACUGUGCACUUCAGGGCGUGCUAAAUUAAUAAAUGAGUGCUUCAAAAGUUCCACAACCGUAACAAGCUCUGUAACGGUUAAAGGAUGGAUCGCCCUGGGCUGUACGUGACCCGACUUCGAACUCUGAAGCUGAGUUGAAGAAUCCCCCCACAGGCACAGACGGAGUUGAGGCAACAGCAGCUACCUGACCAUGGUUUGAUGCCAUGCAUGAGGCACUUGGAGAAAGGCCAUCUAUUCAGCCACCACCCUUGUUGCCUCAUGCUCGGGGGCAGACUGUGGCCAGACUGUUGCAGAAGCCUCGUCCUCCCCGCCUGGUCAGGUCUCCUGAAUUACAUCUGAGAGUGAGGAGGCCCUACCGUCUACAAGCUCCCAACCACCUACUAAAAGGCAAAAGAGGGAUGAGGGAACAUUUGCCUUUUGAAAGAAAAAGGCUGAGAAGAAGGAGGCAGGAGAUGCUGCUCCCUACGAGCAAAAUGAGCAAUUUCUUGCACUUUUUUCUGAACUAGUAAAACAAUAAAUAAAGGACAACGUA